GCCCCUACCUGGCCCCCCCAACAAAAAUUUUCUAGACACGCCACUGCGCCUAUCAGUGCCCACACAGCGGAAAUAUGUGCGCAACACGUAGCUGUGCUGUCUGGGGAAUCAUCAACAAGCGGUAAACUUUCAGAGGAAGUGAACUACUGACGGUUACGCAGAGAAGAAAACAGCGAUGUCUGAGUCAGACGAGGAGCGUGGUACUUUCCGCACCAGCAAGAACACUGAGGGGGCAAAUACGACUCCUAAUAGCCCCAAGGGGGUUAUGGUGACACUACCUUGCUUCUCUUGGUGUCCCAAAAUAUGCAGCCCAAACGGUCACGCCAUCUUCUGGAUUUGUUUUUUUGUUUUUUUUGGUUGUGCAAUAGUUGGUGGUAUUUGGUUAGGGGUAUGGUUAUGUAAAAGUAAAGGUCAGGUUGCCCCGUCGGACGACGAGGACCCUAAUUGCCGUUUCUCAAAAGCUGCAGUGGCCGCAGACUCCGAGAAUUGUUCGGAGAUUGGAAAUGAUGUGUCAGUUGUGAACGAAAUGGCUCUUAGAGCCGGGUCUUUGACGUGAACGACGCAAGCCGGCUCCUUAUCGCGAGCCUCCCAGUCCUACUGCCAGUUUCUGGAAGACACCUUCUUCAAGCAGUGGUACAGGAAGAAGUCUGCAUCCU
ensembl:lncRNA